CACAUGAUAAAUAUUUCAGAUUAUUUAUUAAUUUAAACAACACAAAUCAUAGAGUGAUUCUUUAUAUCUUCUCUCUAAAGUAACACUCACAAAACACUUCUUAGAGAAAAUUGACCAAACACUAAAGUCAUAAACUAUUUAUCUAAUCAACAACAUAUUUAGUAUAAUCUCACAAAUGAAGUCUGGAGAGAAUUUAACGUCCACGAACAUUAUCCUUACAUUUGUCAACAAAAUUGUUCACGGGAGUGUUUUUUAAUGUCCAGCUGUGGUGUCUGAGCUAGCUUGCACACUUCACAAGGACCAACUAGUGCGGAAUAUCAAUGCAGAAAACUAAGUGGCUCCUUCGUCCAUCGCAUAGAGUAGACCUGGUUGCAACUUGCACUUCUUUCCUACGUUGAAAUUGAGAAAGCUUUCAACAUGAAAACGGUUACACUUUCUUGGACCUCGUAGCAAACCACCAAGGCUCAAACCCCAUCCAAAUCAUCCUCAGAGGAAUCAGACAUGGUAACUGCCCACUGCAAAUAUUCGGCACUUGCUAUAUUUGUCUCUACCCAGCCACCAAUUCUUGUACUUUCAUCAAGUUCCGACUCUAGGGUCAGGGCAAGUGGCCCAUCUAAGAAGCAGUUUUCCACCAAGGACGCUUGAGGAUUUCCUGACCGUUGUAAUAAACUAAAAGGCAACGACAUAGCUGAGAGUUUAGGCUGUUGACGUGACAGAUCGGCUAUUUUGUGUAUGCCCAAGAUUGAUAGUUUUGUAUUGCUUGAAAGUUGGCAAACAACUUGACCAAAAGUGCCAAAACGAUACAAAACACUACCAGAGUGUGGCAAUGCAGAGACAAACUGAGCCAAGCAGGCAACAAUAUUUGAUUUUUUAACCAUCACAGCGAUUCCACUACCAUUUAGUUGAUUCAGCAGGGGCGGCCCAAAAGAUGAAUAGUCAGUCAUCCCCCUUUCCUGCAAAAAUUCCCCAAAAAAAUUGUUAUUCUAGGCUACACAUUAAGGCAACUAAAAAUGAUGUAAUAUAACAAGUAGAUACAAUAUGCAACAUCUGCAACAACCAACUAAUGACUCCCCAUGAAAUCUUCCUUGUCAGAUUACUUACCUUGCUUUUAUAUGAAGCUACAUAGAAAGACAACUGAAAGAUAUAAUAUAACAAGUAAAUACACUAUGCAAGAAGCCAACAACCAUGUAAUGACCUCCCUCCCCCCACAGAAUCUUCCUUGUCAACCUGUUGAUUUCUUGCCAUUCCUCAAUACUAAUAAGUGCGAGAACUUUGCACCACAGAUCAGCUACUCGAUAUUUUCUUUUGGUUUUGGUGAGUACAUCUGCAACUUCAUUUUACAGGAAUUUUGACCUAACCAUUUUUUAGGAGGCUGGUAACAAAACUUUUGACCUUGUUACUUUUGCAACUUCUUGCUGAUACUGACAAUACCAAAAAGAAUUGAACAUGGAUUUGAUAAUUAUGAUCACAAAUAAGAAAGCACAUUCAGUAUUCAGAAGCAUUUACCUCACGUGAACUUGUAGGUACUGCAAUAUCUCUGCAUCGACACCGACUGGAAUGGCAACUGCAGAACACCAAUCACUGAUAUUUGCUGCAUAAAGAACUUUUGCUAAGGAAAGUGAACUACCCAGGAUACACUUCUGGCCUCUUAUGCUGCCAACAAACUCUGCUACAAGUGUAUCCUUUUCACGGAUAGUUGUUUCAAAAGUCAGCCUAGAAUCAAUACCAGUCCUAAUUGCUCUUUCAAUUGCAUUGCACUUGGAUACAUCAAUGGUACCGAUCAUCAACAGUGCACCCACAGCAUCAAAUUCUCCUCUUACGUGAGUGCUAGUUUCUUGGAAUGGACUUCCUUUAGAAGAUUUAUAGAAUGCAAGCACUCGCUCCAACUUUUCUUGUCUGUCUCUUAGGGUACACAGCCAGAGCCUUCUCAUACUUGAGGGUACACAGCCAGAGCCUUCUCAUACUUUAAGGGUACACAGCCAGGCCUUCUCAUACUUGAGGGUACACAGCCAGAGCCUUCUCAUACUUGAGGGUACACAGCCAGAGCCUUCUCAUACUUGAGGGUACACAGCCAGAGCCUUCUCAUACUUGAGGGUACACAGCCAGAGCCUUCUCAUACUUGAGGGUACACAGCCAGAGCCUUCUCAUACUUGAGGGUACACAGCCAGAGCCUUCUCAUACUUGAGGGUACACAGCCAGAGCCUUCUCAUACUUGAGGGUACACAGCCAGAGCCUUCUCAUACUUGAGGGUACACAGCCAGAGCCUUCUCAUACUUGAGGGUACACAGCCAGAGCCUUCUCAUACUUGAGGGUACACAGCCAGAGCCUUCUCAUACUUGAGGGUACACAGCCAGAGCCUUCUCAUACUUGAGGGUACACAGCCAGAGCCUUCUCAUACUUGAGGGUACACAGCCAGAGCCUUCUCAUACUUGAGGGUACACAGCCAGAGCCUUCUCAUACUUGAGGGUACACAGCCAGAGCCUUCUCAUACUUAAGAGACCCAUCAGAGUAAAGCAAAGCCCAAUAACAAAGCUUGUGGUAACUGGUAAAGUAAUAAUUUGACUGCUCAAGCUCUGAGUACUUCCUAAUGACACUGUUCAGCAGUUGAAAGUUGCAUGACAGGUAACAGAUAUACCCACUUUAGUUCAAUAGUACAAAAGUAGGGAUGCGUACAAUCUCACCUUCCCCUGACCUUCUAAAAAGAGCCAAAACUACCAUUCUCACAUAAGAAAUAACAUUUUCAUAACUUUUAAUGUUCUCCCUUUAGAUAUUCAUUUGCUUCAAAUAAGAUUCACAUGAAGGAGCAGCUAUUAUCUUGAAGAAAUGUUCAAUAUCAUACUUGCUUGGAUCCCUCAUAUAACUCUUACUGCACAUUCUUUUAGGAUCCUAAGUUGGGAAAAUUUGAAUAUAAUAUACAUGUGAUCCAAUGGUGUUCUCUUUUUCCCAAUACAUCUAUCAAACCUGUCCCAAUAAGGUGGCCUAGAAGUCCAAGAGCCAUUUUAAAUUUUUUCUUUUAUGACUGUGAAUUUUACAAGAAACCAGCCCUUUGGGCCAACAACAUAGCCUUCUAAACUCAGGGAUGAUGGAUUUUCCCCUCUAGUCUCUAUCCUUCUCAACUUAAUUACAGGACUUAGUAGUUAGUUCACUUGGCACAGGGAUCGAAUCUGUGACCGAAGAACAAGUCCCUCAACCUUCCUCUUUUUAACAAUCUAGGGAAUCAAGGUUCCAAUCCUAAUCAUAACAUAUGCAAAACUAAGUAAAUUCUUUCCAUCAACCUAAAUGUUUGGGGACAAAGCUAAUCAAUACCAUUGUUAGUUGAGGAACCUCUAAAUACCAUUGUUAAAAGAAACAAAAACAAAAAGAACAUCUAGUGUCCAUCACAACAGAGAUGUAACCUCAUAAUAUCCAAAUUCCAAAAAACUGAUAAAGCUCAUAGAAGUAAUCCAUUCCGCUGAACAAAACCAGCAUAGCAUAAGUCUCUUUCUACUCUUUUUACUCAUAUUCUAUAGGUCAAUCGGCUUCAACAGGUGAAAAAAAUCAAAAUUAUCAAACCACUACUUGAAAACAAACGCAAUGAAACUUAAAUAACCUUUAUGAGACACCACAAUAUUACUACUUAACAACGCAUACUAGAGCAAAUAGGUAUUUACAUAAUGACUGGCAAUCAGCUUGCAUAGGGAAAAAAUGAAAUGUAUCCGAACUAAUACUUGAAAACAACAAAAACAUACCUAGUGUAAUCACACGAUUGGGAUAUAGGGAGGGUAGUGUAUAUACAGCUUACCCCUCCCUUGGGGAAAGGCUGUUUGCUAUAGACCCCUGGUUUGAAUAAAACAUAUCAAAUUAGUUAUCAAAAGGAAAUACAGCAGUGAGGAAGCUAAGUCAAAAAUACAGGAGAACAAAACAAUAGAAACAACAAAUAGAUAGCCGAAGCAAAGGAAAUAACAAGUAAUAAUCAAAUAAAAAAAUAAGAUAGUAUGAGAGUAAUAAUAAUAAACUUAUAAGAAAAACUAGUAAAUUCUCAACUACCUACUAAACUUCCACCCUAAUUUUCAACCUCCAAAUUAAAUAAAAUUAAACAACCAUAAUGAGACACCAAUAUUCUACUUUUAACAAUGCAUGCUAGGAACAAAUGGGUCUCUAUAUUAUCUCUUUUGAUAAUCGUAGUGUCCAUGCCAACUUUCAAGCAUGUCAACUAGUUCUACAAGAUACUUAAUACCUCACACAAGCAACAAACACCAGGUAACUCUAUGACUAAGACAGAUAGCAAGAAAUCACUAGUGUUUUUGUCUAACAACUCACACAAACAACAAGCAUCAAGUAAAUUUGUCCAUCAAAGAACAGAUAACAAGAAAUCAGUAAUAUUUUUGUAAACAACUCAUACAAGCAACAAGCAUCAGGUAACUCUAUCCAUCAAAGCUAGAAUAGAUAACAAGAAAUCACUAGCGUCUUUGUCUAACAACACACACAAGCAACAAGCACCGUGUAACUCUAUCCACCAAGACUAAAACAAAUAGCAAGAAAUCACUAGUGUUCUUGUCUAACAAAUAACACAAGCAACAAGCACCAGUUAACUCUCACCUAGUCUUCAUUGACAGCUGGGCCACAUUGUAGGCAAAAUUUACCGGAAAAAGAAAAUACACAGUUAAUUUACCGGAUUGCGGCGAUUGGAAACUUCGCGGUUGCGGAACACGACGGAAGCGAAAUUCUGCGUAGAUUUUGCAAAGGACUUUAACUUGUCUACAACUGAAACAGCUGCUGUUUCCAUUUUUGAAAACCUAUGUAUGAAUCAGAAGAGAAAAAAAAGCUUCGAUGAAUUGUGUUAAUGGCGUUUCAACAAUGGAAUUGAUUUUUUCCUAUGCUGCUCAGACUCUUCAAAAAUGUCGACAGGUUCGGGUCCAAUCAUUCAAAAGUAGUUCAUUUUUGAAGAAUUCAACGUGGUUACGACAUCAUUUUUGGAGAUUCGAAGCAACAUAAAUUUUUUCUAUUCUGACUUAGUGACUACCUUCCAUAUAUAUUGCAUUUUGUUCUAGUAUAAAAAUUCAUACAUUUCUGACCUUUGGUUCUGCGCCUUCCCGGUACUAAGGUGGUUUGUUCUCAAAUGCCCUUUCAUAAACUUGCAAAACCACUUAAAAUUUUGGAAAUUGAUAGAGGUUCUAUUUAUUAUACGUAUUCCCUCCAAAAUGAACUCAUACAAGAAUCGUCUUGUCAAUAACCUCGAUUAACUUACUGACACGGAAAAAGUUUUCCCAUCUAUUAGCUCUAUUCCUCUGCUAGCCGACUAGAGUUUAAGAUUGAUAACAGUUCACAUUAUUGUACACUAGACUUAUAUUCUCAUAUUGUCAACCUACAAAUAUAAGUUUUCAUGAUAGACAUAAGGAUUGCAAGUUACCUCCCCAUGCGAUUUAGCAACUAGCAGAUUAGCUCCCUAUAGCUAGGAACUUUGUACCACACAGCUCAGAUGACCCCCUCUUCAUAUGGCACCACCACUCACUCUCACUAAACAACAGAGUAAUAGUUCUUAAUAACAAUAGUGCAUAGAAAUUACAAGGGACAAUCUGCAUUUUUAACCACUAUUCAGAAGGACCACCAAACAUUGUAAGCAUGAGUUAACGCAAUGAGUAGUGCAAUAAUUUUUAGACCACAAAGGGGAAAUGAACAAAUUCCUUCACCAUAGAUGGGCCACAAGUUGUGAAAACCACUACGAUGCAAUAUUCACUUUUUUGCAAAAUAUAGUCUGUUGGAUUUUCCUAUCAAGAUAUAUACUAUGGAAUUUCUAAAUUUACUCCUAGUGAGCUAUCAGUUACCAAUUCCCUCGAGCUGAAUCAAUCUUAAAGCUGAUUAAAAUAUGGACAUAAGCAUCCUUUUGAGCUUCCAUUAACUAUAAGAAUUUUACCAGUGAACAGAUGAUUUUAUCAAAGUCCCAUUACAUGUAGUACAUCUACUACCCAAAAAAAAUUCUUCUCAAUUAUAAAAUCAAAUUCUAUCACCAUGGUCUGUUUUUUUUUUGGAACUGGUAACUUUAGCUAUCACCAUGUUCUUUAGCAAAAAGAAAUAAUCCAACAAUCCUCUAGAAAAAUGGCACAUUGUAUAAGCACCCAAGGGAUGGCCAAGUGGCCAACGAAGUGGGUUGUAGAGAACCAUAAGGUCUCAUGCUCAAUUCCAAAUGAAGAAACUCAGUCUGGAGACCUAUCGGGAACCUAUGGCCAUUGAUGUAGUUCAGAGCAAAGGUGAAGAUUAGGGAUGGACAGCGAACAUCCUUUUGGCAUGACAAAUGGACAGGGCAAGGAACUAUGAAACAACAACAUCCAGAACUCUUCGCAUUAAGUCAACAGCAACAUGCCACAGUUGCCAUGAUGUGGAAGGGUGGAAUUUAUUCCUAAGGAGACAUUUAAAUGACUGGGAGAUGAAAAGAAUUGCAAAAUUUACAAUUCAGUAGCAGGUUUUAAUAACCUCAAUGGAGGAGAAGACAGACAGGAAUGGAAAGUUCUCUAUCAACUCAGCUUACAAGGAGCUGAAUUCAACAGUGGUGAAGGAAAGAGAUUGGCCUUGGAAGAUGAUAUGGAAGCCGAAGAUCCCUUACAAAGUUAACUGUUCACCUGGCUUUUGGGUAAAGAGGUAAUCUUGACACAGGAAAACCCAAGUAAAAGGGGUCAUCAAUUAGCCUCUAGAUGGGUGAAACCUGGAAGCAUAGCAGGUGCUAAGAUGCUGGGAACAAGGAUGGCACGGUAAGUAAGGAGGAGAGAUGGAAGAUUGUCCUGGCUUGUAUUUGGUGGUCAGUUUGGUCUAAGAGGAAUAGGAGGUGUUUUGAAAGAGUACAAAGCAGCUUAAUGUUAACUUUCUAAAAAAAAAAAAAAGAGUACAAAGCAACUUACAUAAUCUUAAGACGAAUUGCUUAGGCCUUUUUCACUUUUGGCGUGAGCAAAAAUUACUAGCUCAAACAGAAGACAUUUUAGACGUUUCAGACUUUUUGCAAGGACAAAUUGAACCACAAGAUGUAAGUUGUAAUACUUUUGCAGGGGAACUACACUUUUUGGUGUAGUAUACCUGUGGAUAUAUAGAAUUAAUGUUAUCUUUCUCAAAAAAAAAAAAGAACUAUGGUGAUUUCUUCACAUUUGUCCAAGCCUCGGAUGGAUAGAGCUACCCGAUACCUGUUUUAGUGGGAGGUAGCAGGUGCUCGUGGAAUUAACCAAGACAAGCCCAAUCUAGCCUUAAAUCUAUAGGACCAGCAGCCUUAAUAUUCAAAAAAAAUUCUUGUCAAUUCUAAAACCAAAUUCUAUCAGCAUGUUCUCUAGCUAAAAGAUAUAAUCCAACAAUCCUCUGGAAAAAUUGUGAAGACGUAUGGCCGAGUGGUGGUUUGAGAACCAUAAACUCUCAGGUUCAAUUUCCUGUGAAGAAAAAUUGUUCCUGUGCAGGUUGGCGUGGGAGGUACCAAGCUAGCUAAGACAACCCGAUUAUAAAAUAAAAAUGCACACUGUAUAAAUCUAUAGGACCAACAACCUUUAAAUCUAUGAAAAACGUAAAUAAACACACAACGAAUUUCAUUUCACGAGAAAUUAACAUUGAAAAAAACGUACACAUAAAACGCAAUAUGUUAGAUAUACCUUGGAAGGAUCAACUUUCUGGAAGAAUUGACGACGUUGAUAACACGAUCCCUAACUUCAUUCUUGUCGAGAAACGAUCCCCUUACUUCCUCGGAGAAAUGGCGUUUGAAAAGCUGACUGACUGAACCUCCGAUGAGCCUAGGGUUUCGAAGCUGCACCGGCCGAGCUUCCACUCUCAGGUACUUCAGCAAUGCGUUCCUCGCCGCAAUUGAAAAUGUAGAAAAAGAAGGCAGAGAUUUGGAGAAGAUGAACAAGCGGCGUGAGGGCUUUCUCAAAGGUUCUGAAAAAGUUUAAAGCUUUUCUUUUUUCUUAUUAAAAAAAAUCUUUUUUCUUUUUUAAUUUCUUUUUCCUAAUUUUUUUUAUUUUUUACUACAUGUAUUAAUUGGACAAAACAAUGUAUUUAAGUUAAUUAAGGUGCCUUGGGGCAAAUGAAUAGAGGCUCGUUUCUAGACCAUUUUAUGAUGAACAAAGUGUUAGUCAAUGAAGAAUGUCUGUUUAGAAGACGAAGAUGUUCGGAUGGAUAUGUGUGUUAACUAGGAGAUAUGAUUAGGAAUGAAUUUAUUUGAGCAAGAUGAGAGUGACCUUUGUGGCAAAUAAGAUGAGAGAAAUUAGGAUGUGUAGUUUUGAGCGUGUGAAAAUGAGGUGUGAGGAGUCGAUGAUGUGUUAGUUAGGAGGUGUGAAAGCUUAAUUGUACAAAAGGUAGGAGAGGGAGGUAGAGGUAGUAACCGAAAAGAACUAGGGAGGAUGGGGAUAGGGAUGACAAUGGGGCGGGGAGUUGAGCUUAACCCGCAAAAUUUUUAAUCCGCCCCACCCUGCCCGUCAUAGACCCACCUUGCAUAAUUUUUUUUAAUAUUUUCUUUUUAUAGUUAAGUUUGAUACUAAAAAAUAAAAUUCAUAAACAUAAAUUUAUUUUUUCAUUAAAUUAUAUUAAUUUAAUAGGAUAGUGACUUAAAAUUUUAUUUUUAGAGGUCAAUUGGGAAACAUGUAAAAAAAUUGUAUUAUUUUUUAUUGAACCAUUUUCUUUUACUAUUUUGAAUAUUUUAGUAGCUUUAAAGAAAUAACAUCUUAUCACCUAUAAAAAAUUAAAAUUAAGUUGAACCCACAUAAAAUUACAUAUAUGAUAUACCCACAACCCGCUCCGCUCCACAUUAGUUUUUAAAAAACUCACUUCAACUCACCCUGCAUCCCACCAGCCCUGCCCCACAUAGCCUUAAACCCACCCACCUUAUCCCGCCCCAUUGUCAUUCGUAGAUGGAGACUAGAGAGAACUUGACAUAACUUUAACUUACCCCCACCUUUUCUCGUCUCACUGGUAUUUCAUUUGAUUUGUACCUAUUUGAAUAUUGUGUUUUUUUUUUACCAUCCUAUUUUAAUAACAUCACUUUUGAAUCAAGGAUCAGUAAUAACAAUCUCUCUACAACUUAACAAUUCUAUUAAAUAAAAUUUAAAAAUUGAACCCCUUAACACUUUAUUUAAAAAAUAUAUUAAAAAGUUAACUACAAUCUCACAUGAUAAAUGUUUCAGAUUAUUUAUUAAUUUAAAAACAACACAAAUCAUAAAGUGAUUCUUUAUACCCCUCUGUAAUGUAACACUUAACCAAACACUAAAGUCUCACAAAUGGAGUCCGAAGAGAAUUUGAUAUACACAAACGUUAUCCUUACCUUUGUCAACAACAGUGUUUCAAAUCGUUUAGCCAAUCAUAAACUGCUAUGCUCACAAAAUACAUUUUCCUGAAACUUCACUUAGACCAAAAAAAUGUUCCUCUAAAAGCUUGGCCAAGCAGUUUAUAUAGGAGAGAACAAAGCAUAAGGUCCUAUUAACUGCUUCGACUAAAAUUUGUUACUAAAGUGAAUACUGUUGGAGUAGACAAAAUGUUUCUCUUCCUUUCUAUUUUGUGUGGGAGUUGCUAAAGGGUGUUUCUAUUAUAAGGGGAGAGUCAGAUUGUUCACGGGAGUGUUUUUUUUAUGUCCAGCCGGGGUGUCUGAGCUAGCUUGCACACUUCACAAGGACCAACUAGUGCGGAACAUCAAUGCAGGAAACUGAGUGGCUCCAUCGAUCACAUAGAGUAGACCUGGUUGCAACUUGCACUUCUUUCCUACGUUGAAAUUGAGAAAGCUCUCAACUUGAAAAUGGUCCAUAUUUCUUGGACCUUGUAGCAAACCACCAAGGCUCAAACCCCAUCCAAAAUCAUCCUCAGAGGUAUCAGACAUGGUAACUGCCCACUGCAAAUUUGCUCUUUUUAUCUCUACCCAGCCACCAAUUUUUGUACUUUCAUCAAGUUCUGACUCUAGGGUCAUGGCAAGUGACCCAUCUAAGAUGCUGUUUUCCACCAAGGACGCUUGAGGAUGCCCUGACCGUUGUAAAAAACUGAAAGGCAACGACAUAGCUGCGAGUCUAGGCUGUGGUCUCGACAGAUUGGCCAUUUUGUGUAUGCCCAAGAUUGAUAGUUUUGUAUUGCUNNNNNNNNNNNNNNNNNNNNNNNNNNNNNNNNNNNNNNNNNNNNNNNNNNNNNNNNNNNNNNNNNNNNNNNNNNNNNNNNNNNNNNNNNNNNNNNNNNNNNNNNNNNNNNNNNNNNNNNNNNNNNNNNNNNNNNNNNNNNNNNNNNNNNNNNNNNNNNNNNNNNNNNNNNNNNNNNNNNNNNNNNNNNNNNNNNNNNNNNNNNNNNNNNNNNNNNNNNNNNNNNNNNNNNNNNNNNNNNNNNNNNNNNNNNNNNNNNNNNNNNNNNNNNNNNNNNNNNNNNNNNNNNNNNNNNNNNNNNNNNNNNNNNNNNNNNNNNNNNNNNNNNNNNNNNNNNNNNNNNNNNNNNNNNNNNNNNNNNNNNNNNNNNNNNNNNNNNNNNNNNNNNNNNNNNNNNNNNNNNNNNNNNNNNNNNNNNNNNNNNNNNNNNNNNNNNNNNNNNNNNNNNNNNNNNNNNNNNNNNNNNNNNNNNNNNNNNNNNNNNNNNNNNNNNNNNNNNNNNNNNNNNNNNNNNNNNNNNNNNNNNNNNNNNNNNNNNNNNNNNNNNNNNNNNNNNNNNNNNNNNNNNNNNNNNNNNNNNNNNNNNNNNNNNNNNNNNNNNNNNNNNNNNNNNNNNNNNNNNNNNNNNNNNNNNNNNNNNNNNNNNNNNNNNNNNNNNNNNNNNNNNNNNNNNNNNNNNNNNNNNNNNNNNNNNNNNNNNNNNNNNNNNNNNNNNNNNNNNNNNNNNNNNNNNNNNNNNNNNNNNNNNNNNNNNNNNNNNNNNNNNNNNNNNNNNNNNNNNNNNNNNNNNNNNNNNNNNNNNNNNNNNNNNNNNNNNNNNNNNNNNNNNNNNNNNNNNNNNNNNNNNNNNNNNNNNNNNNNNNNNNNNNNNNNNNNNNNNNNNNNNNNNNNNNNNNNNNNNNNNNNNNNNNNNNNNNNNNNNNNNNNNNNNNNNNNNNNNNNNNNNNNNNNNNNNNNNNNNNNNNNNNNNNNNNNNNNNNNNNNNNNNNNNNNNNNNNNNNNNNNNNNNNNNNNNNNNNNNNNNNNNNNNNNNNNNNNNNNNNNNNNNNNNNNNNNNNNNNNNNNNNNNNNNNNNNNNNNNNNNNNNNNNNNNNNNNNNNNNNNNNNNNNNNNNNNNNNNNNNNNNNNNNNNNNNNNNNNNNNNNNNNNNNNNNNNNNNNNNNNNNNNNNNNNNNNNNNNNNNNNNNNNNNNNNNNNNNNNNNNNNNNNNNNNNNNNNNNNNNNNNNNNNNNNNNNNNNNNNNNNNNNNNNNNNNNNNNNNNNNNNNNNNNNNNNNNNNNNNNNNNNNNNNNNNNNNNNNNNNNNNNNNNNNNNNNNNNNNNNNNNNNNNNNNNNNNNNNNNNNNNNNNNNNNNNNNNNNNNNNNNNNNNNNNAGGAGGUGUGAGGGGCUGGUUGUAGAGGGUACGCGGAGGGGUAGAGGUAGGCCUAAGAAGUAUUGGGGAGAGGUGAUUAGACAGGACUUGGCUCAGCUUCACAUUACCGAAGACAUGACUCUAGAUAGGAAGGAGUGGAGGUCUCGUAUUAAGGUUGAAGGUUAGUAGGGCUAGCGUGUUGUCUCUUCUUGCAAGGGUAGGGGUUGUAGCGUGUGUAGUAGUCCUAGUCUUGCACUUGCAGUUCUUUUCUGUGAGAUCGAUAGCCUUUUGUUGUUUAUUGUGUUUCAUUUCUCUCAUUGUGUAUUGAUGUCAUUGUCUUCCUUUGUUGAUUGUAUAUUAUCUUUCGUAUUGGAUGGUAUGUAUAUACACUGUCUUUCUCGCCUUUUACUUGGAUUUGAUGUACCUGAGCUGAGGGUCUUCCGGAAACAGCCUCUCUACCUCGCACGAGGUAGUGGCAAGGUCUGCGUACACUCUACCCUCCCCAGACCCCACCUAGUGGGAUUUUACUGGGUUGUUGUUGUUGUUGUUGUUGUUAUCAGCAUGUUCUCUAGCUAAAAGAUAUAAUCCAACAAUCCUCUGGAAAAAUUGUGAAGACGUAUGGCCGAGUGGUGGUUUGAGAACCAUAAACUCUCAGGUUCAAUUUCCUGUGAAGAAAAAUUGUUCCUGUGCAGGUGGGCGUGGGAGGUACCAAGCUAGCUAAGACAACCCGAUUAUAAAAUAAAAAUGCACACUGUAUAAAUCUAUAGGACCAACAACCUUUAAAUCUAUGAAAAACGUAAAUAAACACACAACGAAUUUCAUUUCACGAGAAAUUAACAUUGAAAAAAACGUACACAUAAAACGCAAUAUGUUAGAUAUACCUUGGAAGGAUCAACUUUCUGGAAGAAUUGACGACGUUGAUAACACGAUCCCUAACUUCAUUCUUGUCGAGAAACGAUCCCCUUACUUCCUCCGAGAAAUGGCGUUUGAAAAGCUGACUGACUGAACCUCCGAUGAGCCUAGGGUUUCGAAGCUGCACCGGCCGAGCUUCCACUCUCAGGUACUUCAGCAAUGCGUUCCUCGCCGCAAUUGAAAAUGUAGAAAAAGAAGGCAGAGAUUUGGAGAAGAUGAACAAGCGGCGUGAGGGCUUUCUCAAAGGUUCUGAAAAAGUUUAAAGCUUUUCUUUUUUCUUAUUAAAAAAAAUCUUUUUUCUUUUUUAAUUUCUUUUUCCUAAUUUUUUUUAUUUUUUACUACAUGUAUUAAUUGGACAAAACAAUGUAUUUAAGUUAAUUAAGGUGCCUUGGGGCAAAUGAAUAGAGGCUCGUUUCUAGACCAUUUUAUGAUGAACAAAGUGUUAGUCAAUGAAGAAUGUCUGUUUAGAAGACGAAGAUGUUCGGAUGGAUAUGUGUGUUAACUAGGAGAUAUGAUUAGGAAUGAAUUUAUUUGAGCAAGAUGAGAGUGACCUUUGUGGCAAAUAAGAUGAGAGAAAUUAGGAUGUGUAGUUUUGAGCGUGUGAAAAUGAGGUGUGAGGAGUCGAUGAUGUGUUAGUUAGGAGGUGUGAAAGCUUAAUUGUACAAAAGGUAGGAGAGGGAGGUAGAGGUAGUAACCGAAAAGAACUAGGGAGGAUGGGGAUAGGGAUGACAAUGGGGCGGGGAGUUGAGCUUAACCCGCAAAAUUUUUAAUCCGCCCCACCCUGCCCGUCAUAGACCCACCUUGCAUAAUUUUUUUUAAUAUUUUCUUUUUAUAGUUAAGUUUGAUACUAAAAAAUAAAAUUCAUAAACAUAAAUUUAUUUUUUCAUUAAAUUAUAUUAAUUUAAUAGGAUAGUGACUUAAAAUUUUAUUUUUAGAGGUCAAUUGGGAAACAUGUAAAAAAAUUGUAUUAUUUUUUAUUGAACCAUUUUCUUUUACUAUUUUGAAUAUUUUAGUAGCUUUAAAGAAAUAACAUCUUAUCACCUAUAAAAAAUUAAAAUUAAGUUGAACCCACAUAAAAUUACAUAUAUGAUAUACCCACAACCCGCUCCGCUCCACAUUAGUUUUUAAAAAACUCACUUCAACUCACCCUGCAUCCCACCAGCCCUGCCCCACAUAGCCUUAAACCCACCCACCUUAUCCCGCCCCAUUGUCAUUCGUAGAUGGAGACUAGAGAGAACUUGACAUAACUUUAACUUACCCCCACCUUUUCUCGUCUCACUGGUAUUUCAUUUGAUUUGUACCUAUUUGAAUAUUGUGUUUUUUUUUUACCAUCCUAUUUUAAUAACAUCACUUUUGAAUCAAGGAUCAGUAAUAACAAUCUCUCUACAACUUAACAAUUCUAUUAAAUAAAAUUUAAAAAUUGAACCCCUUAACACUUUAUUUAAAAAAUAUAUUAAAAAGUUAACUACAAUCUCACAUGAUAAAUGUUUCAGAUUAUUUAUUAAUUUAAAAACAACACAAAUCAUAAAGUGAUUCUUUAUACCCCUCUGUAAUGUAACACUUAACCAAACACUAAAGUCUCACAAAUGGAGUCCGAAGAGAAUUUGAUAUACACAAACGUUAUCCUUACCUUUGUCAACAACAGUGUUUCAAAUCGUUUAGCCAAUCAUAAACUGCUAUGCUCACAAAAUACAUUUUCCUGAAACUUCACUUAGACCAAAAAAAUGUUCCUCUAAAAGCUUGGCCAAGCAGUUUAUAUAGGAGAGAACAAAGCAUAAGGUCCUAUUAACUGCUUCGACUAAAAUUUGUUACUAAAGUGAAUACUGUUGGAGUAGACAAAAUGUUUCUCUUCCUUUCUAUUUUGUGUGGGAGUUGCUAAAGGGUGUUUCUAUUAUAAGGGGAGAGUCAGAUUGUUCACGGGAGUGUUUUUUUUAUGUCCAGCCGGGGUGUCUGAGCUAGCUUGCACACUUCACAAGGACCAACUAGUGCGGAACAUCAAUGCAGGAAACUGAGUGGCUCCAUCGAUCACAUAGAGUAGACCUGGUUGCAACUUGCACUUCUUUCCUACGUUGAAAUUGAGAAAGCUCUCAACUUGAAAAUGGUCCAUAUUUCUUGGACCUUGUAGCAAACCACCAAGGCUCAAACCCCAUCCAAAAUCAUCCUCAGAGGUAUCAGACAUGGUAACUGCCCACUGCAAAUUUGCUCUUUUUAUCUCUACCCAGCCACCAAUUUUUGUACUUUCAUCAAGUUCUGACUCUAGGGUCAUGGCAAGUGACCCAUCUAAGAUGCUGUUUUCCACCAAGGACGCUUGAGGAUGCCCUGACCGUUGUAAAAAACUGAAAGGCAACGACAUAGCUGCGAGUCUAGGCUGUGGUCUCGACAGAUUGGCCAUUUUGUGUAUGCCCAAGAUUGAUAGUUUUGUAUUGCUUGAAAGUUGGCAAACAACUUGACCAAAAGUGCCAAAACAAUACAAAAGACUACCAGAGUGUGGCAAUGCAGAGACAAACUGAGCCAAGGAGGCAACAGUAUUUGAUUUUUUAACCAUCACAGCGAUUCCACUACCAUUUAGUUGAUUCAGCAGGGGCGGACCAAAAGAUGAAUAGUCAGUCAUCCCCCUUUCCUGCAAAAAUCCCCCCCAAAAAUUGUUAUUCUAGGCUACACAUUAAGGCAACUAAAAAUGCUGUAAUAUAACACGUAUAUACAAUAUGCAACAUCUGCAACAACCAACUAAUGACUCCCCAUGGGAUCUUCCUUGUCAAAUUACUUACCUUGCUUUUACAUGAAGCUACAUGGAAAGACAACUGAAAGAUGUAAUAUAACAAGUAAAUACACUAUGCAACAAGCCAACAACCAUGUUAUGACCUCCCUCCCCCAACAGAAUCUUCCUUGUCAACCUGUUGAUUUCUUGUCAUUCCUCAUUCCUAAUAAGUGCGAGAACUUUUGCACCACAGAUCUGCAACUCGAUAUUUUCUUUUGGUUUUGGUGAGUACAUCUGCAACUUCAUUUUACAGGAAUUUUGACCUAACCUUUUUUUGGGAGGCUGGUAACAAAACUUUUGACCUUAUUACUUUUGCUACUUCUUGCUGGUACUGACAAUACCAAAAAGAAUCGAACAUGGAAUUGAUAACUAUGAUCACAAAUAAGAAAGCACAUUCAGUAUUCAGAAGCAUUUACCUCACGUGAACUUGUAGGUACUGCAACAUCUCUGCAUCGACCACCGACUGGAAUGGCAACUGCAGAACACCAAUCACUGAUAUUUGCUGCAUAAAGAACUUUUGCUAAGGAAAGUGGACUACCCAGGAUAUUCAUUUGGCCUCUUUCGCUGCCAACAAACUCUGCUACAAUUGUAUCCUUUUCACGGAUAGUUGUUUCAAAAGUCAGCCUAGAAUCAAUACCAGUCCUAAUGGCUCUUUCAAUUGCAUUGCGCUUGGAAUUAUCAACAGUACCGAUCAUCAACAGUGCACCCACAACAUCAAAUUCUCCUCUUACGUGAGUGCUGGUUUCUUGGAAUGGACUUCCUUUAGAAGAUUUAUCGAAUGCAAGCACUCGCUCCAACUUCUCUUGUCUGUCUCUUAGCUUCAUAAUAUCUGAAAAAGAUUCUCGCUGCAAUCUCUUCAAGAUCUCAAUCUGUAAAUAAUAUUAUUGGAAGAGUUGUAAAGCACCAUCAUUGGCAAAUAUGUCAAACUAAAGCUUGCCGAGGGGAGUGGAGUUGGGAAACAGUGAUAUCCUACAGCUAAUGAGAGUGACAAAUCCCAAUCGAACUAUGUCAAAAUAAAUUUGGAUAAGUAUCUUUUUUUUCUUUCGAUAAGUAAAAGGAUAAUUAAAAGAUAUUUUUCUCUUACAUAUGGAUAUCUCUUUUUUCAAUAUUAUUUCCUGGGAAGCCACAUAAUACAGGCAUCGUCAUACAGCAGAUAGUAAACAUAAAAGACUUUGAUCUAGCGACAAUGGAAAAGAUAGGAAAAGAUGGGAAAAAAUAGACGAACUGGCAGAAACUAGAUGAGGUUAGGGUACACAGCCAGAGCCUUCUCAUACUUAAGAGACCCAUCAGAGUAAAGCAGAGCCCAAUAACAAAGCUUGUGGUAGCUGGCAAAGUAAGAAUUUGACUGCUCAAGCUCUGAGUACUUCCUAAUGACACUGUUCCGCAGUUGAACGUUGCAUGACAGGUAACCGAUAUACCCACUUUAGAUCAAUAGACAAAAGUAGGGAUGUGAACAGUCUCACAUUUCCCUGACCUUCUAAAAAGAGCCAAAACUACCAUUCUCACAUAAGAAAUAACAUUUUCAUAACUUUUACUGCUCUCCCUUUAGCUAUUCAUUUGCUUCAAAUAAGAUUCACAUGAAGGAGUAGCUGUUAUCUUGAAGAAAUGUUCAAUUUCAUACUUGCUUGGAUCCCUCACUCUAUAUAACUCUUACUGUACAUUCUUUUAGGAUCCUAAGUUGGGAAGAUUUGAAUAUAAUAUAUAGGUGAUCCAAUGGUGUUCUCCUUUUUCCCAAAACAUCUAUCAAACCUGUCCCAGUAGGGUGGCCUAGAAGUCACAGAGCCAUUUUAACAAUUUUCUUUUAUGACUGUGAACUUCACAAGGAGCCAGCCCUUUGGGCCAACACCAUAGCCUUCACAACUUGGGGAUGAUGGAUUUUCCCCUAUAGUCUCUAUCCUUCUCAACUUAAUUACAGGACUUAGUAGUUAGUUCACUUGGCACAGGACUCGAAUCUGUGACCUAAGAACAAGUCCCUCAACCUUCCUCUUUUUAACAAUCUAGGGAAUCAACGUUCCAAUCCUAAUCAUAACAUAUGCAAAACUACGUAAAUUCUUUCCAUCAACCUAAAUAUUUGGGGACAAAGCUAAUCAAUACCAUUGUUAGUCAAGGAACCUCUAAAUACCAUUGUUAAAAGAAACAAAACAAAAAGAACAUCUAGUGUCCAUCACAACAGAGAUGUAACCUCAUAAUAUCCAAAAAUACCAAAAACCGAUAAAGCCCAUAGAAGUAAUCCAUUCCGCUGAACAAAACCAGCAUAUCAUAAGUCUCUUUCUACUUUCUUUACUCAUAUUCUAUAGGUCAAUUGGCUUCAACAGGUGAAAAAAAAUCAAAAUUAUCAAACUACUACUUGAAAACAAAAUGCAAUGAAACUUAAAUAACCUUAAUGAGACACCACAAUGUUACUACUUAACAACGCAUACUAGAGCAAAUAGGUUUUUAUAUAAUGACUGGCAAUCAGCUUGUAUAGGGAAAAAAUGAAAUGUAUCCGAACUAAUACUUGAAAACAACAACAACAUACCCAGUGUAAUCACACGAUUGGGAUCUAGGGAGGGUAGUGUAUACACAGCUUACCCCUCUCCCUUGGGUAAAGGUUGUUUCCUAUAGACCCCCGGUUUGAAUAAAACAUAUCAAAUCAGUUAUCAAAAGGAAAUACAGCAGUGAAGAAGCUAAGUCAAAAAUACUGGAGAACAAAACAAUAGAAACAACAAAUAGAUAGCCGAAGCAAAGGAAAUAACAAGUAAUAAUCAAAUCGAAAAAUAAGAUAGUAUGAGAGUACGGAUAAUAAAUCUUAUAAGAAAAACUAUUAAACUCUCAACUACCUACUAAACUUCCACCCUAAUUUUCAACCUCCAAAUUAAAUAAAAUUAAACAAUCUUAAUGAGACACCAAAAUUUUACUUUUAACAAUACAUAUUAGGAACAAAUGGGUCUCUAUAUUAUCUCUUUUGAUAAUCGUAGCCAACUUUCAAGCAGCUCAACUAGUUCCACAAGAUACCUAAUACCUCACACAAGCAACAAACACCAGGUAACUCUAUCCACCAAGACUAAGACAGAUAGCAAGAAAUCACUAGUAUUUUUUGUCUAACAACUCACACAAACAACAAGCAUCAGUAAAUUUGUCCAUCAAAGAUAGAACAGAUAACAAGAAAUCAAUAAUGUUUUCGUAACAACUCACACAAGCAAUCCACCAAAGCUAGAACAGAUAACAAGAAAUCACUAGUGUCUUUGUUUAACAACUCACACAAGCAACACACCAUGUAACUCUAUCCACCAAGAAUAAAACCAAUAGCAAGAAAUCACUAGUGUUCUUGUCUAACAACUCACACAAGCAAUAAGCACCAGUUAACUCUAACCAUCAAGACUAAGACAAAUAGCAAGAAAUCACCUAGUCUUCAUUGACAAUAGGCCACAUUGUAGGCCAAAAUUUUACUUCUAACAAUCUAUCCGCAAAUGGAUCUCUAUACAAUGACCGGAAAAAGAAAAUACAAAGUUAAUUUACCGGAUUGCGGCGAUUGGAAACUUCGCGGUUGCGGAACACGACGGAAGCGAAAUCCUGCGUAGAUUUUGCAAAGGAUUUUAACUUGUCUACAACUGAAACAGCUGCUGCUUCCAUUUUUGAAAACCUAUGUAUGAAUCAGAAGAAAAAAAAAGCUUUGAGAUUGUGUAAAUGGCGUUUCAACAAUGGAAUUUCACCUUUCUCUACUCUUUCGCCAUAACUGUGCACUACAAGUAGAGAAGAUGGAAAUGAAAUUUGAUAUAUUUAUAAUGGAGUACUUAAUUUAAUUUACAUAUAUUGCUAUAUGUUUUUAAAAUUAUACAUUGAAAAAUAUAUUAUUUUUAUAAUUUUAGUGAUUUCUACGUAUAUUAUAUAUAUAUGUGUGUGUGCUGGGGGGCGGGGGGGGGUGAACGAGACAAGUAUAUACUAUGUCGUUCUUUAUUAUUAACUAGUAAAAUUAUCCGUGCUUCGCACGAGAAUUUAAUAUCACGGAAUUUAUAAAAUAAUACUUAAAAUCUAUCCGGCAUUAAAAUUAAAACACUAUAUUAUCUAAGAUAUAAGAUUAUGUAGUAACAAACAUUAAUAAUGUAAAAGGGAAAAUGAAAAAUUACUAUAUCUUAUCAUUUAGCCUUAAUAACAUAAGCAUAAAUUAUAAAUUAAUGAUUGUAAGAAUACAUACCAGUUAUGUAACAUAAGCAAUAGUUUCAGUGAACCACUCAACAUGAGUAAAGUAUACAAAUAUUUAAUUGUGAAGAAGAAAAAGAAGAAGAAGAAGAAGAAGAAGAAGAAGAAGAAGAAGAAGAGGAGGUUCAGAAUUUCCAUUGUGUUUAAAUGAGAGGAAAUCCCUCUAUUUAUAGACAACAAAGGGUAGUGUGAAUAAAUGUUUAUUGUGCCUUAUCAGAAAGGUUACAACUAUUUGGAAAAGUUGCAACCCUUCGGAAAGGUCACAACCUUUCAUAAAAGUCAUAACUUUUCACAUAAAAGUCGCAAUUUUUCAUCAAAGUAGCAACUUUUCAUAAAAAUCACAACUUUCAUGAAAGGGAAGGUUAAUUUUGUAAAUAAAUAAAUUAAAAGAGAAUUCUUGUUUGUGGUGGCGCCACGUAGGCGGGCCUAAUGCUCUCUUUUAUAUAUAUAUAUAUAUGACUAGUAAAUGGGCCCACACUUCGCGCGGUUAGAACAUUCUUCUUUAAAAUUUAUUAGAAUAGAAUUUUUUUGGUAUUUUGAUGUUAUAUUAUUUUUGUAUAACUCUAUUUUUAAGAGUAUAGAGAUUAUUCAAUUCUAGUUUACCAUUUGUUUUAUUAAAAGAAAAGGUAAAAUUACAAAUCAUAACACUAUUUUCUCUUAGUUUACAUUUCAUUUAGUGUACAUAGUGUCUUUAAUUAGAGAGUCAAAUAAAUAUUUUUCUCAAUUUUCUUCUUUUCAAAUUUCGUUAAUAUAACAUUAUCAAUUACUUUCAAAAUAUUAAAUAUUUUUAAAAUAUAUAUAUAUAUAACUAAUGUGUUUAUCAAGAGCAAAGGUCCCAUAAUCAUAUGAUAUACAUAUAAGUUAUAUGUAGUCAUUAUGUGUUUUAAAAUUGAAAUGCAAUCUUCCAAAAUUCAAAUUUCAUAUGUAAUAUAGUUAUGAUAGUGUUUUGGAAUUAAAGUUGUGCACAAACAAAACAUUAAUGAUCCUUGAAAAGGAUGAAAGAGAAGUAAGGGAUAAUGGAAAAAAAGUUCAAAAAAGUACUUUGGUAUGAGAGAAUAGUCAUCAUUGUGUAUCAUAAAAUUAUAAUUAAUUACUAGUUUUAAUUCUAUAAUUUGACUUUCUAUUUUUUUUACUCCUAUUAAUAUUAACAUUAUUAUGGCAACAACAAAAAAUCAUAUAAAUUUUUAGGCUUGAUCUCUUGGAGAAGAAAAGAUUUCUUUGGAGUAUGUUGUAAAUAAAUGUAUUCUGUAAAAAGUUAUUUGUGAAUCUGCAAUAGUUGUAUUUACAAAUAGUCUGCACUAACAAAUACUUAUAACAAUAACUUUACAGAAACAACAAAGUUUAAAACAUGUACUAAAAAAUAACAAUUAAUAUCAUAAGCCUACAUUAAUAAACGUAAAAAAAUAUCAGGAUCUGUAAUAAUAGAAUGAAAUAGAAAGGAAAAUCGAGCACACUGAAUGCACAGUGUCUCCUUGUCAGUGAGUCACUCAACAGGAGCAAAGUACCCAAAUAUUUAAUUGUGCAGAAGAAGAAGAAGAAGUUCAGAAUCAAAUAUUUAACUGUGCAGAAGAAGAAGAAGAAGUUCAGAAUUUUAAUUAUUUUAAAAUGAGAGGAAACCCCUCUAUUUAUAGACAACAAAUGGUAGUGUGAACAAAUGUUUAUUGUGCCUUACCGGAAAGGUCACAACUCUUUGGAAAAGUCACAAUUUUUCGGAAAGGUCACAGCCUUUCGUAAAUGUUACAACCUUUCAUAAAAGUUGCAACUCUUUAUAAAAGUCACAAGUUUUCAAUAAAAGUCACAACUUUUCAUAAAAGUCACAACUUUUCAUGAAAGGGAAAGACUAAUUUUGGAAAUAAAUAAAUUAAACGGAAAUUUUUAUUUGUGGUGGCGCCACGUAGACGGGCCUAGAGCUCUCUUUUAUAUAUAUACUAGACUAGAUAUGAAAAGGCUCGUUAACGGGACCAACAUUACUGUCUUAAGUUGUAUUUAUACGUAAUUAAUCAUAUUCUUAAAUAAUAAAUUAAUUUUCAAUAUUUUCACGUAAAUAAAUUAAAGAGUAAUAAUGGGCAUUACACUUUGAAGUACUUUUUUUAUUUUUAUAAAAUUAAAAAAUAACUUAUAACUUAUAUAAGUUAUCUCGACUAAUAUUAAAUACGUAAUCUAAUAUUCAUUUUAACAUUAUGUUAGAUAUUAACAUUAAAUUAAAUGACAAAUAUAUGUUGGAUAUAAAAUAUGUCAUCUUCUUUAAUUUUAUGUAUCUCAGCUCAUAUAAAAAAGGGUAAGCCUCAAGUAUGUUCUGAUUUGGUGGAUGUAGAUAUAAUUAACUGAGAUGACAUGUUUAUGUGGUUAACAUAACGAUCUAAUAAGCAUUUGUAAUCACGCACACAUAGUUUUUUCUUUCAAAAUUUGAACAUUAAAUGUGUGAAGUGUUUAGAUGUUCCAUCGGAAUAAGCCGUAGAUUUAGUAUCAAAAUGAAAUUUAUUGACAAAUUUAAUGGACUAUUAAUAUAUAAAGUCAAGUCAUAAAUUUAUUUUAUUAAAUAAUAUUAAAAUUCUAUAUCUAACUCGCACAACUACAAUUUCAUUUAAAUAUUUUUGUUUAUAACAAAAUAACAAAAAUUCGGAUAAAAUUACAUUUAUUUUAUCUAUCUUUAUGAUAAAAAUAUUUUUACUUUUUUGGUAUGAUAAAAAUUUGUUUUAAAUUUUUUGAUCAUGGUGAGAUGAUUCAUAUUUAAAAGUAUUUGUGUCAUUUAUGUCUCUAAUAAAAGAUAUUAUACGUAGUUUCAAAGCAUAAGUUAUGCUUUGUAAGUUUCUGUCUAGAUUCAAUUGAUAAAUCUUUUAAUAAUCUUUUACUUUUUAUGAAUUACAGCUACAUAUAAAUAAUUUUGAAAUUUAAAUUUGUCAUAUAGUAUGUUCAUGAAAUUUAUUAAUAUUUCAAAAAGGAGAUAAUUUGCUUAAAAGAAAUUAAUUCCCCCUUCUUAUUUGAGACAAGAGGAUAGUAGUAUUGAGAAUUAAUUGGUAAUUUAUAAAAAAUUACAUUGUUUGACUUUCCAAAACAAAAUUAUGAUAAGUAUUUAAGAAUAACGGGAGUAAUAAAAAUUCCAUUUUAUUGUUUAAAUUUUUUUUUUUGAACAUUUGAAUUCUGAAAUUACCAAAAAGAUUAUUUAUAUAGUUAAAAACAUUUUUGAAAUUGUACUAUUAAAAAAGCUAACUUGAUUUUAAAUUGUGAGGACUAAAUAUAGGGCAUGUAAAAAAUAUAGUGAAGAUUGAAUAAUAAAUGGGGUGAACAAAAUAUGAAUGGAGUUGAUAAUUGUUAAACAUUUAAAAUUUAUAAUAGAUAGUACAAUUGUAAUGAUGUAAAGAGAAUGGGUCCACAUUGUUACACAUGUUUAAAGGUUAUUGGUGAGGGAUUAAGACAAGGCAAAGUACAUAAUAUAAUUUGUAUUGUUCAUUGUACAACUCUUCAUUGCCAUGAUCGUCCUUCCACGGCUCUUCUAUAUAAUAGAAAUAUAAUUUUCUAAUAUUUUAUACCAAAUAUUUUUUAAUAACUCAAUUGAUUGAUCGGAUUAAUUAUUUUAUAAUCACGUUAUCCAUUUUCUCAUUUCUUUCUCUUGUUUUGAAAAAAAAAAAUGGAGGUGAAGAAGAAAAAAUAGGAUAAAAAACUACAAGAUGAAAAUUGAAUUCUCGCCCUCAAUUUAAAAUAAACAAUCAACUAAUAUCUCUUCUGUGCAAUAAUAUUUGUCCACUAUUGACUUUGCACACUUCUUAAGAAACUAUAAAUAGAAGGAUAAUUUUACUUGUGAACAAGCUGAAUGAUUCAUAUUAUUGUCACUGUGUAUUUAUUUUUUUCACUAUGACUAUAUAUACUUUCUUUUGUAUGUGAAACUUAUUUUAUAUUUGAUUUAUGAUUAUGCUAACUGCUUUGGUUAUUACAUAAGCUUUUAAUUUAUUUUGUUUUGUGUGUGAAAUAUUUUGGGUUCACAUGGAAAUUGAAAAAGGGGUGGUGAUAGUGAGCAGUUUUAUUUUAGUGUAAUUGAAAUUAUUAUUUUCUUAGUGUGCAAUUGAUUCUUUAAUUUAUAACGGUAAUUCACUAGUUUAAUUAUUGUGCACCAAACAUAAUAUAAUAUAUUGUUGUAUGUAACUCUCUGUUUUGACAAGUUUAAGAUAUUAGUACAUACUUUGUUGAGAAUAUUUUUAUUGUGUUUCUUUUGUUCUAUAUUUAUUUGUACAUGUUAAUCACAAAGUGACAAUAUUUUUUAAGGCUCAAUGGUGAAUCCUAUUAAAUUUGGCUUAUUAUGUUAUUGAUUGAGGGUAAGACGAAGGAUUCAAGUCCUAUCGUAUCAAGAGGGUAAUACAUCGGGUGAGAGUCCUGGUGCAUCAUCAUAAUAAAAUGUUGGAUUGGUCCCAACAAAUAAUGACCUAAAAUGCCUUCUUAUGGCUAAGACGUUGGGUUCAAGUCCCAACGUUUUAUUAUGACGAUGUAAUGAUGAGUGAGCAAAUUGAUAUGCUCUUGAUAAAAGUCAUGAAAUUUGUCCAAUUGAUUUGGUUCAUCCUCUUAUGUGAAUGUGUCUGAAAAUGACAAGUGCUUAAAUGUAUGAAUAUGAGUAUGAUAAAAUGUUAAUGAAAAAUUACCUAACUACACAUUUUUUUAACCCUAUUUUCUAUUAUUUCCUAUCAUUUUAAAAAAUUACAAAAAACCUUCUUUUUCCUCAAAUUCUCUCCUAUCCAGAUACAUAACUUUCAGACUUCCAACUUUACUAUUUUUCUCUCUUUUUUCAUGCCUAUAAUCACUCCACUAUAUCAUCAUUUACCUUUAUCACUCCUUUAUUUUGAAUUUUAAAUAUUUUCUCUCUCCGGUUAAUGAUUUAAAGUUAAUCAAGAGAUGGUUACAUUUAUCAUGCAGUGCUAUUUUAUAACUAAAUCAUUGUUUAUCAUAUUCAUAAUUUUUUUUGUAUAUAAUACAUAGCUACGUCAAAUUAAACGGGCAUGAUACAUAAAUAUUAAUUUAUACUACAUGUAUCGAUCUCAAACAAAAUAACUUAUGGCAACAAUUACAUAUUUAAUGUAUCCCGUAACAAUACAAUACUUAUCAAUUUAAACUAGAUACAUAAAUAGUAAUGUAUCAUGCACUAAUUUUUUAGAUAUGAUACGUAAAUUUGAAUUUAUACUAAAUGUAUCAAUUACAUAACAACUACCACACAAUAAUGUAUCAAUCUCAAAUCUAACAUCUUAUGGGCAACAAUUACUUAUUUAAUGUAUUUAGUAUAAAUACAGUACUUAUGAAUUUAAACGAGAUACAUAAAUAGUAAUGUAUCAUGCACUAAUUUUUUAGAUAUGAUAUGUAAAUUCGAAUUCAUACUAAAUGUAUCAAUUUACAUAGCAACUAUCACACAAUAAUGUAUCGAUGUCAAAUCUAACAUAUUAUGGGCAAUAAUUAUUUAUUUAAUGUACUUAAUAUAAAUAUAAUACAUAUCAAUGUUCAAGAAAUGAACAAGCUAACGUAGUUGCUGCCAGUUAUAGACUCAACUUUUUGAUAUGGGAAUGAGGGGUAGUGCCAGACCUAGAACACCUAGGUACUGCCUAUGGUGAUGACAAUUCAUAAAAAAAAAACAAGAUACAUAAAUAGUAAAAUUCUAAGUAACAAAGAUAUUCAUGAUGUAUAUCUCAAAAUUUUUGACGAUCUUCAAUUAAUUAGGAGAAGAAUUUUGAAUCUCAAAAUUUUCGACAAUUUUGAAUCGAAAUUGAAAGGAUCUUCGAUGAAUUGGAAGAAGAAAGAAUCUUGAAUCUCAAAAGUUUUGAUAAUCUUGAAUCAAAAUUAAAGGAUGUUCGAUGAACUUGAAGAUUCAAAAGGAAAUCGUUUGUCCAACAAUAAUUCCAUCACUUUUGUAUCAUUCAUAUUCACCUCGCUUACCCAAAAUUUCGACAAAAGAUUUUGAAUCAAAUCUGAAAGAUUUCUUCGUUGAACGAGAGAGCAAUUUGAAAUUUUGAAUUUCUUCAUUCUGUUAGGAUUUGCCUCUAUAUGAUUGAGAGUAAGAAGAAACAUAAACGUAAUUUAUGAGAUUUAAUUAAUUUUCAGAUCCCUUUUUAGUGCAACAGAAAGAUUUCUUCUUGUAUUAGAAUUAAUGUAUCCGGAUGGUGAAUUAGUGUAUCCGGAUGGUGACUUACGUAUCCGGAAGGUACAAAUUUUAAAGGAUUAUUGUAAUUAGAAAAAGAGUAGGGAUAUGAUGUAAUUUACUUUUUGCACUAUGAGAUUUAUGUAAGUUAUACAAUGUUAAUAGUCAAUUGUGGUAAUUUAAAGGAAGAACAUCAUGUGUUCUUAAGACGGGCCUUCAAAUGUGAAGGUAAUUUUGGGUCAUCAAAGUGGUAUGACAGGUUAUUGGUCACAUUGGGUUGGUGCAACCCAAUUUGAAAGUUUUGUAAAUCCUCCAUCAAAAUAAAGAAAAUACAAAGUGAUAGUACAUUUUGUACUUUUAAAGUGAUGUUGAUGUGGGUCAAAUAAAUUUGAUAAUGUCAAAGUAUAACUAAUAAAAAUUUAUGGAGCAUGUACAAAUGAUUAUGGUCAUUUCUUGAAGAGAAUGUGCCCUGUGUUCGUUUGGAUAAGGACAUGUUCAUGUAUGAUUAAAUAAACGUCACAUCUCACCUCUACGGGAGGUUUGAUGUAUUGAAUUUUUUUUUUUUUGACAUGAAUGGUCAUUUUGGUCAUAUACUUUGAGUACUACACAAAUAUUGUGGUAUGUUUUAUUAUGAACUAUUGGAGGACAAAUGAAAUAAAUACUAAUUCUUUUCUAUAAAAAUUGUGGUCAUGACCAAAAUUAAUAUUAUUGUGUGGGAACACAAAUUUGUCAUUGGUUGUCAAGAAAUAAAUUUUGCUUGUAAUAAUUUUAACUAUGACAAUAAUAAAAAAUUUCUCCUUGAAGGAGAUGGUCACCAUAAGAAUGGUGUUGUGAAAUUUGUGGUAGUACACAAAAUUAAUUGAGAGUUCCGAAAGGGCUAAUUGUUACUAUCCGGAGGAAUGAAAUAGUUUAUCAUAUUGGGGUUGUAGUAAGUCUCAAAAGAAACUUUUUAAGUUUCGGAGAAAUUGAAAGAAAAAAAAUUAUUAUAUUGAGAUUGUAAAUUAUUGAAAUAUUAAAUAUCUUCACUUUACUACAAUCAAAGCGGAUUAUGAAUAUUUGCGUAAAAGGUUACCUGUCUUUUCCUUGUUUGUUGUAUAAAAAUAUAGGCAUGAUGAAGAAAUCACAUGCAAAAGUAAACAAAAAGUUUACUAGAAUACAUAUCAGUUGGCAUAACCGAUUGGCCAUUCCGGUUCAAAUGUGAUGCAAAAUAAAUUGAGAAUUCACGUGGCUAUAUGUUUGAAGAAAUAAAAGAUCUUCCAGAAUUCUCUUGUGUUGCUUGUUCUCAUCAUAAAAUGAUCAAUGUACUAGCUAAGGUUGGGAUUGUAUCCUCCGAAAUUAUUUGAAACAUAUAAAAAGGUGAAUAUGGCCCGUUCACUUGCCAUGUGGACCGCUAACUACUAUGAUUUAAUAGAUGCAUCUAUGGUAUGGUCACAUGUGCAUUUGUAUCAACUUACAAAUUGGAUUUUGUAAGGUUGUUUGCUCGAAUUGUUAAAUUAAGAGUACAAUUUCAAAUUAUAUAAUUAUGUUGAUAAUACUGGUUGGUUUAGCAGAAAUUGUUUGCCUCCAAUUAUAGCUAGACCAUUGAUUAUGAGAAGAAAUCUCUCAAAUAAAAUUUGAUAUGAGAUGAGUUUAUUUAACAUGUAUGCAUCAAGCCAACAAGGUUCUCCCAUCACAAUUGGUUCAGGGUCAGGAACUAAAUAAUUUCCAUCUAAAUAUUUGAUAUGUGCACAUAUGAUUUUAUUGCUCCACCACGCACAAAGAUGGAUACCCAAAUGAGGUUGAGGAUAAAUGUUAGAUUUCCUAACAUUAGGGGGAGAUGUGUUUAGCAGCUGAAAAUUAUGUGUGGUGAAUUAUCUAGAUCAUCGUUAAAAAAAUGUGAACUUGAAGUUUAAGAGAUAAUUCAUUUGCAAAAUGUUGUUUUGCCAGAUAUAUUUACUGACCCAAUAUUAUAAUUAAGUUGCAAAUGUUCCAAUAAAUAGUCCUUGAAAGACAGAGCCUAUGGUACACCGAAAGUGUGAUAGACCAAUCGAUUCCAAACGUAUAACUCCUUGAGGAAGGAGAAGAGCAAAUUACCGAAAUGGUCAUGAUAAUGAGCUAAGUGCUCUGAGAGAGUACUACGACAUAGCACUUCAUAAGACCUUAGCAAAGGUUCAAGUACCUGAAAUGAUGAAAACUGAAGAGAGCUCAAUAAGUUAUGUCGAAUUGGAAUCGAUAUCAAAAUGAUUGUCGACGGUAUAUUUGAUAUGAAGUAGCACUCAAUGCUAUAAAUGGUUACGAGGAUCUUGAAUUCAAAUAUGUCAUAUAAUGUGGACAGAUAAAUGAUUGGCCAAAUUAAAAUGCACUAUUCAAGUAUAUUUUGCUUCACUUAAAAAAUAUUGUUUUUGAACUUAUAGUUCAUGGGUACAAAUGAAUCAUUGUGCGAAAGUAUAACUGUAAGAUAUAAAGUACGGUUUGUACCUCAGGGCAUAAAGGACUUUCGCAAAAGUCCUAACAUUAUUAAAUGGAGAUAUAUUCUCCAGUGGUGGAUGCAAUGAGACUUAUUUCAGUCUGGCAAUAGAUAAAAUACUUGAAUAUGUGUAAUGAAAUAUUAUCAUGUCUAACUAGACGAUGAAGGUUAUAUGAAAAUUCUUAAAGAAUUUAAAAGGUCUUAAAGCAAUUCCAUUGAAUACCCAAUGAUUUUGAGACUGCUUAACACAUAGAAAGAAUCUUUUUGAUCUCAUGAACAUGAUUUAAAAUGUCAUGUAUUAGUGCAAUUGGUGCACUUACAGAUUGUUGGUUAUGCAAAUGCUAGAAGAUUGUUUGAUAAACAUAAUGAAAGUUAUGUGAAAGGAUUGUCAUAUUAUGAUUCAAGUUAUGACAGGAAACUAACGAAGCAAGUGACUUAACACAUAAAAGAUGUGUGAUUUUCUUUGAGAAGAAAAGACGAGAUUCAAUAAAAUUGAAAUGAUUUGUAUGUAGAUGCAGAAUAUUUAUUUGAUCCGCAUAAAGCUCGAUCGCAAAUGGACUAUUUAUUUAUAUAUGGAGGCACAAUAAUAUCUUGGCAUUCAAAGAAUCACAUUAGUAACCACUUCUUCAAAUCAUGCAAAAAUAAUAUUGAUCUAUGAAUUAAGUCGGGAGUGGUUUUGGUUGGAAUCAUGAUCUAUAGAAAAUAUGUGAUUUUCUUUUGAAAAGGAUAUUCCAGUCACCAUAUAUGAAAAUAAUAUACAGUUCAAUUGAAGGGAGGACACAAUCAAAGGAGAUUGAACAAAGCAUAUUUCACCAAGUCUUUUUCACACAUGAUCUUCAACAAAAUGGUGAGAUAGACGUUCAAAGACUUAUUCAAGUGAUAAUCUUGUAAACUUAUUCACUAAGAAUUGCCAACAUCAAAUUUGAGAAGUUGUAAUAUAAGAUUGGAAUGCAUCGUCUCCGAGAUAUCAAGUAAAGUAUUUAUCAAGGGGAGAAAAAUACUUGUUGUACUCUUUUCCUUAACCAUGAUUUUAUCCCAAUUGGAUUUUCCUGGUAAGGUUUUUAACGAGGCAACAUUCAAAGCGUAUUAAAAGAUAUGUGUACUCUUUUUCCUUCAUUAGGAUUUUUUCCCACAUGUUUUUUUUCUAGUAAGGUUUUAACGAGGCAUAUUAUCUAUGGACAUCCACGGGAGAGUGUUAUAAAAUAUUAUAGUGUGUAUGUCCACUACACCAAGAAGUUACUCUCACCCAUUAUCUCCAUUACUUUCUUCCAUUAUGUAGAUAAUCAUAACCUCCAUAACCUCCACCUUUAUGCCUCUAUGUUACACUAUAAAUAGAGGUAUAAGAGUUCAUAUUGUAUAGACUUAGGGUGUACACUUGAAAGAAAGAAAGUUAUCACAUAUUGUUCCUCUUGUUCUAUAUUCUUCUUUGUCUUCCUCUUUAUAUUGUUCUUUUAUUCUUAAGUUUUACAACAAAUUAUAGUUAAAUAAGGUACCUUUGGGUUUUAAUCCAAGGAGACGGGGAGAAUGAUGAUGAUUUUGCACAUUAUUUGUGUUGGUGGAUGAAACGAAAGCUCCUUUCUAGAGUAUUUUGUGAUAAAAAUGUGUCAUUAAGGCUUUUAAAAAGUAAGUUCUAUAAAGUGAUAGUAGAACAAUAUUGUUGUACAUGACAAAGUGUUGGUCAAUGAAGAAUGUCCAUGUUUAGAAGAUGAAGAUGCUUGGAUGGAUGUGUGGGUUAACUAGGUGAUAUGAUUAGGAACAAAUUUAUAAUGGACAAGAUGGGAGUGACCUUUAUGGAGAUAAGAUGAGAGAAGCGAGGAUGAUGUGGUUCGAACAUAUGAAAAUGAGGUGUGAGGAGCCACGGAUGCGUCAGUUAAGAGGUCUGAGAGGUUGGUUGUAGAAGAAAUAGUAGGCAUAGAGGUAGUGCUCGAAAAGAACAAGAGGGGGGGGGGGGGAAAACCCAACUAGUAUAAACAAAACUUGUUAGUUAGAAGAUGUGAGAGGUUGAUUGUAGAAGAAGUCAAAGGGGUAGAGGUAGUACUCGAAAAGAACUAGGAAGAAGGGGACUAGAUAGAACUUGACACAACUUCAACUUACAUAGAAGAGGGCUAGCCCCCUCCUUCAGUGGUGGACCCAGAAAUUUUACCAAGUGGGUUCAACAUAUAAAAAAAAAUGAAGCAGUAUUAAAAUGUUGUGGGUGGGAAUCGUACACGCGAUGCAUCAGUCAAAUUGUAACCACUUUGCCGCUAGGCUGCGUGUUACUAUUGAUUUAAGUGGGGUCAAAUUAAUUAUAUACAAUGUUUUGUUUCAAAAAAAUAGAUUGAAUAUAUAUGUAUAUACAAUGUAUUUUUUCGACGAAGUGUGUUCAUAUGAACCCACUUGCAACAAGGUAGGUCCGCCCCUGCCCUCCUUUCCUCGUUUCAUUAUUGUUUCAUUUGCUUUGUAUCUUGCUAUUUGAUUGUUAUAUUUUUCUUGCAAUCCUACUUCAACAACAUCACUUUUGAGCUGAGGAUCUAUAAAAAUAGCCUCUCUAGUCUCUACCCCUUAACACUCCUAUUAAAUAGAAUUUAAAAAGUUGACUACAAUUUCACAUGAUAUAUAUUUCAGAUUAUUUAUUAAUUUAAACAACACAAAUCAUACAGUGAUUCUUUAUAUCUUCUCUGUAAUGUAACAUUCACAAAACACUUCUCAGAGAAAAUUGACCAAACACUAAAGUCAUAAACUAUUUAUCUAAUCAACAACAUAUUAAGUAUAAUCUCACAAAUGAAGUCCGGAGAAAAUUUAACGUCCACGAACAUUAUCCUUACCUUUGUCAACAAAAGUGUUUCUCAAAUCAUUUAAAAGUGUUUCUCAAAUCAUUUAGCCAAUGAUAAACUGCUAUGUUCACAAAAUACAUUUUCCUGAAACUUCACUUUGACCAAAAAAAUGUUCUUCUAAAAGAUUGGUCAAACAGUUUAUAUAGGAGAGAACAAAGCUUAAUCCUAUUAACUGCUUCGACUAAAAUUUGUUACUAAAGUGAAUACUGUUUCUCUUCUUUUCUAUUUUGUGUGGGAGUUACUAAAGGGUAUCUCUAUAUAAGGGGAGAGUGAGAUUGUUCACGGGAGUGUUUUUUUAUGUCCAACCGUGGUGUCUGAGCUAGCUUGCAUACUUCACAAGGACCAACUAGUGCGGAAUAUCAAUGCAGGAAACUGAGUGGCUCCUUCAUCCAUCACAUAGAGUAGACCUGGUUGCAACUUGCACUUCUUUCCUACGUUGAAAUUGAGAAAGCUUUCAACUUGAAAACGGUUCCACUUUCUUGGACCUCGUAGCAAACCACCAAGCUCAAACCCCAUCCAAAAUCAUCCUCAGAGGUAUCAGACAUGGUAACUGCCCACUUCAAAUAUUCGGGACUUGCUAUAUUUGUCUCUACCCAGCCACCAAUUUUUGUACUUUCAUCAAGUUCUGACUCUAGGGUCAUGGCAAGUGGCCCAUCUAAGAAGCAGUUUUCCACCAAGGACGCUUGAGGAUGCCCUGACUGUUGUAAAAAACUAAAAGGCAACGACAUAGCUGCGAGUCUAGGCUGUUGACGUGACAGAUUGGCCAUUUUGUGUAUGCCCAAGAUUGAUAGUUUUGUAUUGCUUGAAAGAUGGCAAACAACUUGACCAAAAGUGCCAAAACAAUACAAAACACUAUCAGAGUGUGGCGGCAAUGCAGAGACAAACUGAGCCAAGCAGGCUACAAUAUUUGAUUUUUUAACCAUCACAGCGAUUCCACUACCAUUUAGUUGAUUCAGCAGGGGUGGCCCAAAAGAUGAAUAGUCAGUCAGCCCCCUUUCCUGCAAAAAUUCCCCAAAAAAAAUGUUAUUCUAGGCUACACAUUAAGGCAACUAAAAAUGAUGUAAUAUAACAAGUAGAUACAAUAUGCAACAUCUGCAACAACCAACUAAUGACUCCCCAUGGGAUCUUCC
rnacentral:lncRNA from 1 species